rnacentral:misc_RNA from 1 species
GGAUAUCAAGAGAGUAGAGACAAAAAUAACAUAUUUUCAAAUAUGUUAAGCUCAAAUUUAAACCCAUAAAGAUGACAGGGAAAAAAAACAGAUUAACAACAUCCAAAUAUUAUGCCGCAUAAAACUAUUUUAAUCCAUUUCAGAAGCCUGGGUUGGUUGGACACCCAUAACUACUGUUUGUUGCUGUUCAGUCUAAUCUAAUGAACUACUGUUUUGCCAGGGGAGACCCAGAGAUUUUUU